rnacentral:rRNA from 1 species
GACGAACGCUGGCGGCGUGCCUAAUACAUGCAAGUUGAGCGCUGAAGGUUGGUACUUGUACCAACUGGAUGAGCAGCGAACGGGUGAGUAACGCGUGGGGAAUCUGCCUUUGAGCGGGGGACAACAUUUGGAAACGAAUGCUAAUACCGCAUAAAAACUUUAAACACAAGUUUUAAGUUUGAAAGAUGCAAUUGCAUCACUCAAAGAUGAUCCCGCGUUGUAUUAGCUAGUUGGUGAGGUAAAGGCCCACCAAGGCGAAGAUACAUAGCCGACCUGGGGGGGGUGUCGGCCCCAUCGGGACUGAGAACCGGCCCCAACUCCUACGGGAGGCAGCCGUAGGGGAACUUCGGCCAUGGGCGAAAGUCUGACCGGGCAACGCCGCGUGAGUGAAGAAGGUUUUCGGGUCGUAAAACUCCGUUGGUAGAGAAGAACGUUGGUGAGAGUGGAAAGCUCAUCAAGUGACGGUAACUACCCAGAAAGGGACGGCUAACUACGUG